UACGUAGGGUGCGAGCGUUGUCCGGAAUUAUUGGGCGUAAAGAGCUCGUAGGCGGUCUGUCGCGUCGAUCGUGAAAAACUUGGGGCUUAACCCUGAGCUUGCGGUCGAUACGGGCAUGACUGGAGUUCGGCAGGGGAGACUGGAAUUCCUGGUGUAGCGGUGAAAUGCGCAGAUAUCAGGAGGAACACCGGUGGCGAAGGCGGGUCUCUGGGCCGUAACUGGACGCUGAGGAGCGAAAGCAUGGGGAGCGAACAGG
rnacentral:rRNA from 1 species